AACGAACGCUGGCGGCAUGCCUAACACAUGCAAGUCGAACGAGACCUUCGGGUCUAGUGGCGCACGGGUGCGUAACGCGUGGGAACCUGCCCUUAGGUUCGGAAUAACUCCCCGAAAGGGGUGCUAAUACCGGAUAAUGUCUUCGGACCAAAGAUUUAUCGCCUUUGGAUGGGCCCGCGUUGGAUUAGCUAGUUGGUAGGGUAAAAGCCUACCAAGGCGACGAUCCAUAGCUGGUCUGAGAGGAUGAGCAGCCACACUGGGACUGAGACACGGCCCAGACUCCUACGGGAGGCAGCAGUGGGGAAUAUUGGACAAUGGGCGAAAGCCUGAUCCAGCAAUGCCGCGUGAGUGAUGAAGGCCUUAGAGUUGUAAAGCUCUUUUACCCGGGAUGAUAAUGACAGUACCGGGAGAAUAAGCUCCGGCUAACUCCGUG
rnacentral:rRNA from 1 species